rnacentral:lncRNA from 7 species
GGCAGCACGUCGGCUGCAAUUCCAAUCUCCCAUAUGGGACGACGAGGCAGGCAGAGAGGCAGCCUAGGCGUUUCAGUUUCAACGCCGAUGCUCUCUACCGUACUGACAAACCACUAGAAACUCUCUUCUCUCUAUUCGAGAGAUGCGGGAAGACUUGAGGAUUAUUAGCAUAUGUUAAACGCUUAUUAAAAUCGUGCGGCCGUUGCAUUGCACGUCAUCCGCAGCACAGCUAGCAUCCCGAUCUUUCAUGCACCUGCACAGAAACAGAGCUGCCCGCGUCGUGCAUUUUUUUUUCUGGUAUAUAUAAGCGGAACCGAAAAACAUGUUGGGUCGUUAGGUGUUCACGUUGUCAGCAGAUUGCGUCCGUUGCGUUGUUCAGAUCACCCGGCCAUUGAGACCGGGAACUUUAGAAUGAACCAGAGGCGAGGCGAGGCGAUGAUUGAGCUGCUCAGCCGGCCGGGGAGAUAGAUGCUUGUCAAACUUGCCUAGCAACGUCAUAUUGGCUGGUGCGAAUCUGGCGGACACGCCUGCCUCAAAUGUAAUGUACCCGUAUUAAAGCCUCUAGAAAAGAAAGAAAAAAAACCUGAUCACCCCGUUUGAGCUGACUUGUCGACACUAUCCGAUCUAUCUACCGCGCAUCAAGACUGACUUAAGAAGCAACAAGACACAGACUCGUUUUCAGCCAGCAGCUUCAGAGAGCUACAUUUACCUUGCACUAGCGGUCGAGAACGCUGUCAGGCUCAU